GCAUGCUUGUUGCAGGACAGUGUUGGUCCAACAACUGGUCAGUGACAGAGGAGAGGGAGCAACGUUAAAGCACAUGAAAUAAGUGCAAGCAGCAGCAACGAAUGAAGAAGUAACCGGGUCCCAGGCAGCUGCUGACACGCACAGGAGCACAGGCUGCUGGAGAUUUUCACUGCCAGGGAUCUGGCAGCAAUCACACUAAAUGUUGUGAGCUGUUGACAGCUGAAGAUGAGCAGCUUAGGCAGAAGGAGAAAUCCUCUGGACUUACAUCUCUUCACAGAAAUGCAAUCAUUCAACAGCGGGCCUAAGUAGAAGAGCCAAGCACCAGGUCUUUCAAGAUAGUAUUCUAAAUGAAACUUGAGAUACCAUUCCAUGAAAAGCUUCAAGAUCUUUGGGAUAAACAGUAUUCUUUAGGAUAUAAAUACUUAUUUUCCUAUAUGAAAAACUUCAUGCAUUGUUUGCCCUGUCAGAAAUGUUUUUGUGGCAACUCCUGGACUGCCUUUCCUAAUGAUAUAGAAAAAUAAAAUUAAAAAUAAAAAAUGC